UACGGAGGGUGCAAGCAUUAAUCGGAUUUAUUGGGCGUAAAGGGCGCGUAGGCGGGGAUAUAAGUCAGAUGUGAAAUCCUGGGGCUCAACCCCGGAACAGCAUAUGAAACUUCACUCCUAGAGGGUAGGCGGAGAAAACGGAAUUCCACAAGUAGCGGUGAAAUGCGUAGAUAUUUGGAAGAACACCGGUGGCGAAGGCGGUUUUCUAUUUUAUUCCUGACGCUGAUGCGCGAAAGCAAGGGGAUCAAACAGG
rnacentral:rRNA from 1 species